rnacentral:rRNA from 1 species
GGGUUGUGAGGUUAAGCGACUAAGCGUACACGGUGGAUGCCCUGGCAGUCAGAGGCGAUGAAGGACGUGCUAAUCUGCGAUAAGCGUCGGUAAGGUGAUAUGAACCGUUAUAACCGGCGAUUUCCGAAUGGGGAAACCCAGUGUGUUUCGACACACUAUCAUUAACUGAAUCCAUAGGUUAAUGAGGCGAACCGGGGGAACUGAAACAUCUAAGUACCCCGAGGAAAAGAAAUCAACCGAGAUUCCCCCAGUAGCGGCGAGCGAACGGGGAGCAGCCCAGAGCCUGAAUCAGUGUGUGUGUUAGUGGAAGCGUCUGGAAAGGCGCGCGAUACAGGGUGACAGCCCCGUACACAAAAAUGCACAUGCUGUGAGCUCGAUGAGUAGGGCGGGACACGUGGUAUCCUGUCUGAAUAUGGGGGGACCAUCCUCCAAGGCUAAAUACUCCUGACUGACCGAUAGUGAACCAGUACCGUGAGGGAAAGGCGAAAAGAACCCCGGCGAGGGGAGUGAAAAAGAACCUGAAACCGUGUACGUACAAGCAGUGGGAGCACGCUUAGGCGUGUGACUGCGUACCUUUUGUAUAAUGGGUCAGCGACUUAUAUUCUGUAGCAAGGUUAACCGAAUAGGGGAGCCGAAGGGAAACCGAGUCUUAACUGGGCGUUAAGUUGCAGGGUAUAGACCCGAAACCCGGUGAUCUAGCCAUGGGCAGGUUGAAGGUUGGGUAACACUAACUGGAGGACCGAACCGACUAAUGUUGAAAAAUUAGCGGAUGACUUGUGGCUGGGGGUGAAAGGCCAAUCAAACCGGGAGAUAGCUGGUUCUCCCCGAAAGCUAUUUAGGUAGCGCCUCGUGAAUUCAUCUCCGGGGGUAGAGCACUGUUUCGGCAAGGGGGUCAUCCCGACUUACCAACCCGAUGCAAACUGCGAAUACCGGAGAAUGUUAUCACGGGAGACACACGGCGGGUGCUAACGUCCGUCGUGAAGAGGGAAACAACCCAGACCGCCAGCUAAGGUCCCAAAGUCAUGGUUAAGUGGGAAACGAUGUGGGAAGGCCCAGACAGCCAGGAUGUUGGCUUAGAAGCAGCCAUCAUUUAAAGAAAGCGUAAUAGCUCACUGGUCGAGUCGGCCUGCGCGGAAGAUGUAACGGGGCUAAACCAUGCACCGAAGCUGCGGCAGCGACGCUUAUGCGUUGUUGGGUAGGGGAGCGUUCUGUAAGCCUGUGAAGGUGUGCUGUGAGGCAUGCUGGAGGUAUCAGAAGUGCGAAUGCUGACAUAAGUAACGAUAAAGCGGGUGAAAAGCCCGCUCGCCGGAAGACCAAGGGUUCCUGUCCAACGUUAAUCGGGGCAGGGUGAGUCGACCCCUAAGGCGAGGCCGAAAGGCGUAGUCGAUGGGAAACAGGUUAAUAUUCCUGUACUUGGUGUUACUGCGAAGGGGGGACGGAGAAGGCUAUGUUGGCCGGGCGACGGUUGUCCCGGUUUAAGCGUGUAGGCUGGUUUUCCAGGCAAAUCCGGAAAAUCAAGGCUGAGGCGUGAUGACGAGGCACUACGGUGCUGAAGCAACAAAUGCCCUGCUUCCAGGAAAAGCCUCUAAGCAUCAGGUAACAUCAAAUCGUACCCCAAACCGACACAGGUGGUCAGGUAGAGAAUACCAAGGCGCUUGAGAGAACUCGGGUGAAGGAACUAGGCAAAAUGGUGCCGUAACUUCGGGAGAAGGCACGCUGAUAUGUAGGUGAAGUCCCUCGCGGAUGGAGCUGAAAUCAGUCGAAGAUACCAGCUGGCUGCAACUGUUUAUUAAAAACACAGCACUGUGCAAACACGAAAGUGGACGUAUACGGUGUGACGCCUGCCCGGUGCCGGAAGGUUAAUUGAUGGGGUCAGCGCAAGCGAAGCUCUUGAUCGAAGCCCCGGUAAACGGCGNNGGUAAGUUCCGACCUGCACGAAUGGCGUAAUGAUGGCCAGGCUGUCUCCACCCGAGACUCAGUGAAAUUGAACUCGCUGUGAAGAUGCAGUGUACCCGCGGCAAGACGGAAAGACCCCGUGAACCUUUACUAUAGCUUGACACUGAACAUUGAGCCUUGAUGUGUAGGAUAGGUGGGAGGCUUAGAAGUGUGGACGCCAGUCUGCAUGGAGCCGACCUUGAAAUACCACCCUUUAAUGUUUGAUGUUCUAACGUUGACCCGUAAUCCGGGUUGCGGACAGUGUCUGGUGGGUAGUUUGACUGGGGCGGUCUCCUCCUAAAGAGUAACGGAGGAGCACGAAGGUUGGCUAAUCCUGGUCGGACAUCAGGAGGUUAGUGCAAUGGCAUAAGCCAGCUUGACUGCGAGCGUGACGGCGCGAGCAGGUGCGAAAGCAGGUCAUAGUGAUCCGGUGGUUCUGAAUGGAAGGGCCAUCGCUCAANNNNNNNNNNNNNNNNNNNNNNNNNNNNNNNNNNNNNNNNNNNNNNNNNNNNNNNNNNNNNGUCGGCUCAUCACAUCCUGGGGCUGAAGUAGGUCCCAAGGGUAUGGCUGUUCGCCAUUUAAAGUGGUACGCGAGCUGGGUUUAGAACGUCGUGAGACAGUUCGGUCCCUAUCUGCCGUGGGCGCUGGAGAACUGAGGGGGGCUGCUCCUAGUACGAGAGGACCGGAGUGGACGCAUCACUGGUGUUCGGGUUGUCAUGCCAAUGGCACUGCCCGGUAGCUAAAUGCGGAAGAGAUAAGUGCUGAAAGCAUCUAAGCACGAAACUUGCCCCGAGAUGAGUUCUCCCUGACUCCUUGAGAGUCCUGAAGGAACGUUGAAGACGACGACGUUGAUAGGCCGGGUGUGUAAGCGCAGCGAUGCGUUGAGCUAACCGGUACUAAUGAACCGUGAGGCUUAACCUUACAACGCCGAAG